rnacentral:rRNA from 1 species
AGCAGUCGCCGCGGUAAUACGAAGGGUGCAAGCGUUAAUCGGAAUUACUGGGCGUAAAGCGUGCGUAGGCGGUGAGUUAAGUCUGCUGUGAAAUCCCCGGGCUCAACCUGGGAAUGGCAGUGGAUACUGGCUCACUAGAGUGUGUCAGAGGAUGGUGGAAUUCCCGGUGUAGCGGUGAAAUGCGUAGAGAUCGGGAGGAACAUCAGUGGCGAAGGCGGCCAUCUGGGACAACACUGACGCUGAGGCACGAAAGCGUGGGGAGCAAACAGGAUUAGAUACCCGUGUAGUCCCUGUCUCUUAUAC